GUUGCAUUAAAAAUGAAGGUCCAUCAAUUUCAUUAUUACAACAUUUGCAAAUUGUUUGAAAUGCACUUAAUGAGCUUUUUCCCUUCCCUUGUUUAUUUAUUUCUUUAUUAAAUUUAUUUAAUGUUUAACUACAACUCUUUGUGUAGGUUUUGAAAGGUUAUCAGUACUUGACAAUUUGGAGCUUCUUGAUUUAAGUCUCAACAAUUUCAAUAACAACAUCUUAUCAUCUCUAAGUGGUCUUUCAUCUUUAAAAUUUUUAUAUCUAUAUGAAAAUAUAUUGAAAGGAAUAAUUAAUAUUGAAGGUGGUGAAGAAUUACUGAAACUGAGUAAUUUGCAGUUUCUUGAUUUGAGUUAUAAUAAUUUUAGUAUCAACAAUUUAUCAUUUCUCAAUGGGCUGUCAUCUCUCAAAAGUUUAUACAUAGUAAACAUUCAAUUGAAAGGACCAUUCGAUUUGAAAGAUUUGGGUUUAAGCCAAUUAGAGGAAUUGGACUUGAGCCAAAACAACAUUACAAAAUUUGUGGAUUCAAGAGGUACGGAUUGUACAUAUUU